AGGUACACAUCUUUCUUCUAUGAUUUCCUACGGGAUACUUGCUACUUGAUUUGAUCUGCUCACGUUUAUUGUUCUGCAAUACAAAUAGCAUAAUUGAUUGGAUAUGAUUUGCUCCCCUAGUUGUUGCCAAUAAAGAUUCAGUUCGCGACUUCCGAGUCAUGCCCACUGAGACCUUCCAAAGACCACUUGAUUCUUGGUUGCUCGAUACUAUUAUCUACCUUUUGACUGAGAGAAGGCAGAAAUAGGUAAGAAAAGUCUAUCGAAUCUC
rnacentral:lncRNA from 1 species